rnacentral:rRNA from 1 species
UACGUAGGGGGCAAGCAUUGUCCGGAAUCAUUGGGCGUAAAGAGCGCGUAGGCGGCCCAGUCAGUCCGCUCUGAAAGUCGGGGGCUCAACCCUCGGAUGCCGGUGGAUACUGUCGGGCUUGAGUACGGAAGAGGCGAGUGGAAUUCCUGGUGUAGCGGUGAAAUGCGCAGAUAUCAGGAGGAACACCAAUUGCGAAGGCAGCUCGCUGGGACGUUACUGACGCUGAGACGCGAAAGCGUGGGGAGCAAACAGG